UGGGGAAUUUUGGACAAUGGGCGCAAGCCUGAUCCAGCCAUGCCGCGUGCGGGAAGAAGGCCUUCGGGUUGUAAACCGCUUUGUCAGGGAAGAAAUCUUCUGAGUUAAUACCUCGGGAGGAUGACGGUACCUGAAGAAUAAGCACCGGCUAACUACGUGCCAGCAGCCGCGGUAAUACGUAGGGUGCAAGCGUUAAUCGGAAUUACUGGGCGUAAAGCGUGCGCAGGCGGUUUUGUAAGACAGAGGUGAAAUCCCCGGGCUCAACCUGGGAACUGCCUUUGUGACUGCAAGGCUUGAGUGCGGCAGAGGGGGGAUGGAAUUCCGCGUGUAGCAGUGAAAUGCGUAGAUAUGCGGAGGAACACCGAUGGCGAAGGCAAUCCCCUGGGCCUGCACUGACGCUCAUGCACGAAAGCGUGGGGAGCAAACAGGAUUAGAUACCCUGGUAGUCCACGCCCUAAACGAUGUCAACUGGUUGUUGGGAAGGUUCCUUCUCAGUAACGUAGCUAACGCGUGAAGUUGACCGCCUGGGGAGUAACGGCCGCAAGGUUGAAAGCUCAAAGGAAUUGACGGGG
rnacentral:rRNA from 1 species